rnacentral:sRNA from 1 species
ACCAUCUUCGGUUGAGGGUAUGCGAGUAGCUGCACUCCCCUGCUAGAACUUCCAAACAAGCUCUCAAAUUUAAUUAAUGAAUAAAAAAUUAAUUUAUUUUUGGGUUUGGGACCACACC